UACAGAGGUCUCAAGCGUUGUUCGGAUUCAUUGGGCGUAAAGGGUGUGUAGGUGGCGCGCUAAGUCGGGUGUGAAAUUUCGGAGCUUAACUCCGAAACUGCAUUCGAUACUGGCGUGCUUGAGGACUGGAGAGGAGACUGGAAUUUACGGUGUAGCAGUGAAAUGCGUAGAUAUUGACAGGAACACCAGUGGCGUAAGCGGCUAUCUGGACGAGUAUUGACGCUGAGGCACGAAAGCGUGGGGAUCAAACAGG
rnacentral:rRNA from 1 species